rnacentral:rRNA from 1 species
UACGGGGGGGGCAAGCGUUGUUCGGAAUUACUGGGCGUAAAGGGUCCGUAGGUGGCUUGCUAAGUCAGACGUGAAAUCCCUCGGCUUAACCGGGGAACUGCGUCUGAGACUGGCGAGCUUGAGUGCAGGAGAGGAACGCGGAAUUCCGGGUGUAGUGGUGAAAUGCGUAGAGAUCCGGAGGAACACCAGUGGCGAAGGCGGCCGCCUGGACCUGACCUGACGCUGAGGCGCGAAGGCGCGGGGAGCGAACGGG